GACGAACCGUGCGAACGUUGUUCGGAAUCACUGGGCUUAAAGGGCGCGUAGGCGGAUCAUCAAGUCCGGGGUGAAAGCCUCCAGCUUAACUGGAGAAGUGCCUUGGAUACUGGUGAUCUCGAGGGAGGUAGGGGCAUGCGGAACUUCCGGUGGAGCGGUGAAAUGCGUAGAUAUCGGAAGGAACGCCGGUGGCGAAAGCGGCGUGCUGGACCUCUUCUGACGCUGAGGCGCGAAAGCUAGGGGAGCGAACGGG
rnacentral:rRNA from 1 species